rnacentral:rRNA from 1 species
GAGGAAAAGAAACUAACAAGGAUUCCCCUAGUAACUGCGAGUGAAGCGGGAAAAGCUCAAAUUUAAAAUCUGGUAGUCUUUGGCUGCCCGAGUUGUAAUCUAGAGAAGCAUUAUCCGCGCUGGACCGUGUACAAGUGUCCUGGAAUGGACUAUCAUAGAGGGUGAGAAUCCCGUCUUUGACACGGACUCCCAGGGCUUUGUGAUGUGCUCUCAAAGAGUCGAGUUGUUUGGGAAUGCAGCUCUAAAUGGGUGGUAAAUUCCAUCUAAAGCUAAAUAUUGGCGAGAGACCGAUAGCGAACAAGUACCGUGAGGGAAAGAUGAAAAGAACUUUGGAAAGAGAGUUAAACAGUACGUGAAAUUGCUGAAAGGGAAACGCUUGAAGUCAGUCGCGUCGGCUGGGGAUCAACCUUGCUUCUUGCUUGGCUUACUUCCCAGUUGACGGGUCAGCAUCAGUUUUGACCAGUGGAUAAAGGUCAAGGGAAUGUGGCACCUCCGGGUGUGUUAUAGCCCUUGGUCAUAUACAUUGGUUGGGACUGA